AGAGUUUGAUCAUGGCUCAGGACGAACGCUGGCGGCGUGCCUAAUACAUGCAAGUCGAACGAGAAUUUCUUACACCGAGUGCUUGCACUCACCGUAAGAAAUUCGAGUGGCGGACGGGUGAGUAACACGUGGGUAACCUGCCCAAAAGAAGGGGAUAACAUUUGGAAACAAAUGCUAAUACCGUAUAACCAUGAUGACCGCAUGGUCAUUAUGUAAAAGGUGGUUUUGCUAUCGCUUUUGGAUGGACCCGCGGCGUAUUAACUAGUUGGUAGGGUAACGGCCUACCAAGGUGAUGAUACGUAGCCGAGUUGAGAGACUGAUCGGCCACAAUGGGACUGAGACACGGCCCAUACUCCUACGGGAGGCAGCAGUAGGGAAUCUUCCACAAUGGGCGCAAGCCUGAUGGAGCAACGCCGCGUGAAUGAAGAAGGUCUUCGGAUCGUAAAAUUCUGUUGUUAGAGAAGAAUAUGAGUAAUAGUAACUGAUUAUUCACUGACGGUAUCUAACCAGCAAGUCACGGCUAACUACGUGCCAGCAGCCGCGGUAAUACGUAGGUGGCAAGCGUUGUCCGGAUUUAUUGGGCGUAAAGGGAACGCAGGCGGUUUUUUAAGUCUGAUGUGAAAGCCUUCGGCUUAACCGGAGAUGUGCAUUGGAAACUGGAAGACUUGAGUGCAGAAGAGGAGAGUGGAACUCCAUGUGUAGCGGUGAAAUGCGUAGAUAUAUGGAAGAACACCAGUGGCGAAAGCGGCUCUCUGGUCUGUAACUGACGCUGAGGUUCGAAAGCAUGGGUAGCGAACAGGAUUAGAUACCCUGGUAGUCC
rnacentral:rRNA from 1 species